rnacentral:rRNA from 1 species
AGACCCGAAACCCGGUGAUCUAGCCAUGGGCAGGUUGAAGGUUGGGUAACACUAACUGGAGGACCGAACCGACUAAUGUUGAAAAAUUAGCGGAUGACCUGUGGCUGGGGGUGAAAGGCCAAUCAAACCGGGAGAUAGCUGGUUCUCCCCGAAAGCUAUUUAGGUAGCGCCUCGUGAAUUCAUCUCCGGGGGUAGAGCACUGUUUCGGCUAGGGGGCCAUCCCGGCUUACCAACCCGAUGCAAACUGCGAAUACCGGAGAAUGUUAUCACGGGAGACACACGGCGGGUGCUAACGUCCGUCGUGAAGAGGGAAACAACCCAGACCGCCAGCUAAGGUCCCAAAGUCAUAGUUAAGUGGGAAACGAUGUGGGAAGGCCCAGACAGCCAGGAUGUUGGCUUAGAAGCAGCCAUCAUUUAAAGAAAGCGUAAUAGCUCACUGGUCGAGUCGGCCUGCGCGGAAGAUGUAACGGGGCUAAACUAUGCACCGAAGCUGCGGCAGCGACACUAUGUGUUGUUGGGUAGGGGAGCGUUCUGUAAGCC